rnacentral:misc_RNA from 1 species
CAAACGGGACUUUGCGAGAUUUAGCUCCAUCUUGGAAUUUCCACGAGGUUUCUCAGAAAAAAGGGCAAUAGUUUGAGGGCCUAUUAGUCCUGCCCAAAGUUCAAAAUGCCCACGAAAAAUCCAUUACCUCCUAAAGAGAAUGCUCUGUUCAAGCGCAUUCUGAAAUGUUAUGAACAGAAACAGUACAGAAAUGGAUUGAAAUUUUCCAAACAGAUUUUGACAAAUCCAAAAUUUGCAGAACAUGGAGAGACCCUGGCUAUGAAAGGACUGACACUGAACUGCCUUGGCAGGAAGGAAGAAGCGUAUGACUAUGUUAGACGUGGACUGAGAAAUGAUCUACAGAGUCAUGUCUGUUGGCAUGUGUACGGUCUACUUCAAAGGUCAGACAGAAAAUAUGAUGAGGCAAUAAAGUGCUACAGAAAUGCUCUGAAGUGGGACAAGGACAACUUACAGAUCCUGCGAGACUUGUCCUUGCUGCAGAUACAGAUGAGAGAUCUAGAAGGUUACAAGGAAACACGUUACCAGCUGCUAGUUCUACGUCCAGGACAGCGAGCAUCAUGGAUAGGUUAUGCUAUGGCUUUCCAUUUGCUGAAAGAGUAUGAUAUGGCACUGAAAAUCAUUGAGGCAUUUAGGAAUACACAAACGCCAAAAGCAUUUGAUUAUGAACAUGGGGAGCUGUUGUUGUACCAGAAUCUUGUGAUUAGAGAGAAGGGAAAUAUGCAAGAAGCAUUGGACCACCUUGAUAAAUAUGAUAGUCAAAUAGUAGACAGACUUACAGUGCAAGAAACCAAAGGGGAGAUAUAUCUAAUGAUGGGUCGGAAGUCUGAGGCUGCUGUUAUAUAUAAAGAACUUAUCAACAGAAAUCCAGAAAACUGGGCCUACUACAAGGGUCUGGAAGAUUCCGUGCAACCAGAGACAGAAGAAGCUCGUUGGAAGCUGUAUACGGAUGCGGAGGAAAGAUUUCCUAGAGCCUCAGCACCAAAAAGAAUUCCACUUAACUUUACCACAGGUGAUUUGUUCAAAAAACUGUUGGACAAGUACCUGCGGAAUGGCUUCCAUAAAGGAGUUCCACCAUUGUUUAUAACACUGAAAUCUGUCUAUACAGAUCCAGCAAAGGUUACAGCAAUUCAAGAAAUCUGUUUAGGCUAUGUAGAAAGCCUGAGAGAAUAUGAAUUAUUCAACAAAUCCGAUGAAAAUUGUGAGAAGGAACCACCAACAGCAUUGUUAUGGGUCUACUACUAUCUUGCUCAACACUACGACUAUAUAGGCAAUGCACAGCAAGCCUUGCACUAUAUAGACAUGGCGAUACAACACACUCCUUUACUUAUUGAACUAUAUGUUCUUAAAGGUAAACUAUUUAAGCAUGCGGGUGAUAUAGAAGAAGCUUACAGAUUGAUGGAUGAGGCACAGUCUCUAGACACUGCAGAUCGUUACAUUAACUCAAAAUGUGCCAAGUAUAUGCUGCGAUCAAACCUCAUACAAGAAGCAGCUGACAUGUGUUCAAAGUUUACUAGGGAAGGUGUGUCAGCAACAGAUAACCUGAAUGAGAUGCAGUGUAUGUGGUUCCAGACAGAAUGUGCAGCAGCGUAUCAACGACUAGGCAAGUGGGGCGAGGCCCUGAAAAAGUGCCAUGAAAUUGACAGGCAUUUUACAGAGAUUAUAGAAGACCAGUUUGACUUCCACACGUACUGUAUGAGAAAGAUGACGUUACGAGCCUAUGUAGGAUUGUUACGAUUAGAAGAUGUUUUGCGUAGUCAUCCUUUCUAUUUUAAGGCAGCUAAAAUUGCAAUAGAGAUUUACCUGCAUUUACAUGAUCAUCCUCUGUCAGAUAAUGAUAAAGAUAAUCUACUAGAUGCAGACAAUCUAACGCCGAGUGAACUGAAAAAAUUAAAGAACAAACAAAGGAAACAACAGAAGAAACUGGAGAAGGAGAAAGAAAAACAGAAAGAACAAGAGAAAAAAGACCAUCCAAAUAAGAAACAACAAGAUCAGGACCAAGAUGGACCUAAAGAGGAGGAGUUGGUGCCAGAUAAACUCGCUAAAGUGGAAAACCCUCUAGAGCAAGCAAUCAAAUUUCUCAAACCUUUGCAAUUACUAGCUCCAGAAAGAAUAGAAACUCAUUUAUUUGCUUAUGAAAUUUAUUCUAGAAAAGAUAAGUUACUAUUGAUGUUGCAAUCAUUGAAACGUGGAUGUCAAGUAGACAGAGAAAACCCACAGUUACAUGUCUAUCUUCUCAGGUUUCUUAUUCUAGUGAAGAAAAAGAAGUGUUCGGGAAAUUUACCAGAGUCUGUGAUGCGUGUACUAGAUGAAGAGAUGGAGAAAUUGUUAAGCAGCCAGGAUGCAAACAAGCUCAAUGAGGAGUAUCUCUGUAGAAAUGUUAAUUCAGUAUUACACAGAGCAGCAGAAUUAGCCUGAGACGUUGUUCUCCCCCAUUAUCGGCUAUCCGGUACAGGUACAUGACGGUGAAUGAAAUGCGCCAAUAGUGACGUAAUAAAGCUGUGACGUCACCAGUGGCGAAAAACGAAUCAAUAAUAUAGCUGCUCGUAUGAUGUUUGAGAUGAAUUCUGAUCCAUCCACGCAAGCGAAGGCGUUACAGCUUGCCACUGCUGUCAGUAAAGAUCUAACAGGAGUCUCACCAAAG